AAUCAAUUUUAAUCAUUUUUUAAAUGUUGCAUUUAAAAAAUGAUAAAAGAUCUUUGAAACUAAUUAUGCAAUAUCUUUCUACUAAGAAACACUAUGGCAUUUCAUCCAUUAUGAUGAUCAUUUAAUAUCUCAAACUAAUUCAAUAUUGAUAUCAAUAUUUUUUCAACAACAA